rnacentral:rRNA from 1 species
ACGAACGCUGGCGGCGUGCUUAACACAUGCAAGUCGAACGGAAAGGCCCUGCUUUUGUGGGGUGCUCGAGUGGCGAACGGGUGAGUAACACGUGAGUAACCUGCCCUUGACUUUGGGAUAACUUCAGGAAACUGGGGCUAAUACCGGAUAGGAGCUCCUGCUGCAUGGUGGGGGUUGGAAAGUUUCGGCGGUUGGGGAUGGACUCGCGGCUUAUCAGCUUGUUGGUGGGGUAGUGGCUUACCAAGGCUUUGACGGGUAGCCGGCCUGAGAGGGUGGCCGGCCACAUUGGGACUGAGAUACGGCCCAGACUCCUACGGGAGGCAGCAGUGGGGAAUAUUGCACAAAGGGCGGAAGCCUGAUGCAGCAACGCCGCGUGCGGGAUGACGGCCUUCGGGUUGUAAACCGCUUUCGCCUGUGACGAAGCGUGAGUGACGGUAAUGGGUAAAGAAGCACCGGCUAACUACGUG